GAUGAACGCUGGCGGCAUGCCUAAUACAUGCAAGUCGAGCGAACAGAUGAAGUGCUUGCACUUCUGACGUUAGCGGCGAACGGGUGAGUAACACGUAAGGAAUCUACCUAUAAGCGGGGGAUAACAUUCGGAAACGGGCGCUAAUACCGCACAAUAUCUUCUUCCGCAUGGAAGAAGAUUGAAAGACGGCUCUGCUGUCACUUAUAGAUGACCUUGCGGUGCAUUAGUUAGUUGGUGGGGUAAUGGCCUACCAAGACGAUGAUGCAUAGCCGACCUGAGAGGGUGAUCGGCCACAUUGGGACUGAGACACGGCCCAAACUCCUACGGGAGGCAGCAGUAGGGAAUCUUCCGCAAUGGGCGAAAGCCUGACGGAGCAAUGCCGCGUGAGUGAAGAAGGCCUUCGGGUCGUAAAACUCUGUUAUAAGAGAAGAACAAAUUGUAGAGUAACUGCUACAGUCUUGACGGUAUCUUAUCAGAAAGCCACGGCUAACUACGUGCCAGCCGCUGCCGUAA
rnacentral:rRNA from 1 species